UGCAGCCUUGUCAAAUUCAGUACUACCUCAUUGCUGGUAGCUACUGGCCAAUAUGGCUGCUACAGGAAUCUGGUAGCUCAUGGGCCCCUCUUUCCUUAGUGGUAAUUGGGGAUAAAAUUGUGCUACAAACAAUA